rnacentral:rRNA from 1 species
GACAGAGGAUGCAAGCGUUAUCCGGAAUGAUUGGGCGUAAAGCGUCUGUAGGUGGCUUUUUAAGUCCGCCGUCAAAUCCCAGGGCUCAACCCUGGACAGGCGGUGGAACUCCAAGCUGGAGUACGGUAGGGGCAGAGGGAAUUUCCGGUGGAGCGGGUGAAAUGCGUAGAGAUCGGAAAGACACCACGGCGAAAGCACUC